AUCAUCAGCACACACACACACACACAAACACCUCUCUCUUGUUUGGUCCCCCCUCAAACCUGUCCAGAGCACAUAACCCUGUACAAUUCAACGAACACUCAUACACAGAAAGAGAUACCGCAUAUAGAAGCACACCCUCUCCUUGUCAUCGUAUACCAGUUCAUACCAUACCACACACAUAUACCUUAGCCAGAUCCACAGAGCUGCAGCGGUUAGUCUGAAGAAAAACAAGACCAAAAUGGACAUGAUUAACGAAAGAAAUGUAAACUGAUGAUCCGAUCUGUAAAGGACAUAGACAAGAAGAUGUCUCAUCUCUCCUGGACAGACAGGUAACUGUGGCCUGAAAAAUCCAAACGAUCCUCAAUAAAAUGGCGGGCAGUGUACACUCAGCAACAUGGGCUAGAGUUGGAAAGAGGACCAUGUGGGCCAUAAUGUGAUAUCUGAGGAGAAAAAGGUUCUGUCCAUAAUCUCCCCUUCACUGUUUGUCCAAAAGGUGCAAUAUCCACUGACAGUUUUCCUAAUCAGAUUUCUUCACUGACUUCCACAGUAAAAGUGAAAAAAUGUGUUGUGGGAAUGAAGCUUGCACACACACAGUCACUUACCCUGACAAUCAGAUUUCUUCACUGACUUCCACAGUAAAAGUGAAAAAAAAGUGUUGUGGGAAUGAAGCUUGCACACACACAGUCACUCACCCUGACAAUUAAAGGAUAUAACAACUAUGGCUGCCUCACACAAACAGUGCUGUAUUGUAUGAAUUUUUAGGACACAGCCUGGUGUUUUAUAUGGUGCCCAUUUGCAUGGAGGCAUAGGAUAUC